rnacentral:tRNA from 1 species
AAGAUAAAAGUUAAAGAGAAGGGCUGCUAACCUUUUUCUAAGCGGUUAGACUCCGUUUGUAUCUUU